rnacentral:misc_RNA from 1 species
AAUAGAAAAACCUGCAUGGUUUACGACUGUAUAAUUUCCUAGCAUUUAAUUCUAAAUGCAUAAAAAAGAUUGCUUUCUAGGAUGGAGGAAAGAAGAAUAUACUUAAUUAGGGGUGAGCAAUGAGUUAGUUAGGUUCAAUUCCGAACUAAGCCAAACCGCAAUAACUAAACAUGUGAAGAAGAGAAUUACAUGAACCAAGCUACUACAUAAGAAAACUAAAUGGAACUGAACAGAAAUUUUUGGUUUGGUUGAUUGGUUAUAAGGAUCCAGAAUUAUAGAAUGCAAAAUUUUCAUAUCAAGUCCCCAAUUGCAAACAACCCAACAUGAAUUCACAUUAAAAUCCUCCAUUGAAAACAACAGUGCCACAAAGGAUCACCAUUUUCACUUAAAUUUUCAAUUAUUUAUAAAUAAAAAAAAAUAGCCUCCAUUGAAUUAAAUUAACCAAUAACGAGGGGAAAAAAUAUAUUUCACCUCAUUGUUUCACAGCCACCUCACAAAUCAGAAAUUAAAUCAAUCCAAAUAUAACUCAUUUUUAAUCUCACUGUCGAGCACAAUACCAUUAUCAAGUUCUUUGUGAUUAUGAACAUGCAUACCAUUGCAAGGUUGAGACUGCUUUUGUUUCUCUUGAAUCCUUUGAGUUUUGGAUCCAAUGAAUCCUUCAAAUUUUGUUUCACUUGAAUCCUUCGAGUUUUGGAUCAUCGAAGCAGCAGUGGUUUGUGGAUAGUAUGAUUCUGUGCCGGCAUAGAAUCUGCUACCGAUGGCGUUGCUGUCGGCUGGAGAGGAGUUUGAGUUGAUUUAAGGAAGGAGAUUGAAGAGAGGAAGAGAAAGAUAAAGUGAAUUGAGAAAAGGAGGGAGCUUAAGGUCUUGAGAGUCUAAAGAGGAUUAGAGGAAGUCGAAAAAACAAAGAGGCAGAGUGCAGCUAAAAGAAAAUUAGGGCUUCAAGCCUUCUAAAUGGUGUAGCUUUAUAUAUAUAGGUUCAGUUUGGUAUUUUACCUUAACAACCAAACCAAAAAAUUGAAUUCAAUUGGUUCAUUUUAGUUAAUUGGUUAUACCUGAUUAUUGCUCUCCCCUACACUUGACCAUAUGCAAUGGCAAUAUCUGCAGUGCUCCAAACGAUUGAAACCACAACUAUGCACAU